CUUCAGAACCUGACGGGCAGGAACAUCUCUGACUACCUGGUGAAGACCUAUCCACAGAUCAUCCGUCAGGAGCUGAGGAACAAGAAGUGGGUGAAUGAGCAGAGGUACGGCGGCUUCUCCCUGGGCGCYGGCAGCUCCCAGGCCCUGCCGUCGGCAGCAGAGGUGGAUCAGGCAGUGCUGGAGCUCCGGGUGCUGCUCAACAUCACCCCGGGCAGCCCCUCGGAUCGGCUCCUGGCCAACAUCAGCCGCUUCAUUGAGGGUUUGGAUGCCCGCAGGAACAUCAAGGUGUG
rnacentral:lncRNA from 1 species